GAUGAACGCUGGCGGCGUGCCUAAUACAUGCAAGUCGAGCGAACGGACGAGAAGCUUGCUUCUCUGAUGUUAGCGGCGGACGGGUGAGUAACACGUGGAUAACCUACCUAUAAGACUGGGAUAACUUCGGGAAACCGGAUCUAAUACCGGAUAAUAUUUUGAACCGCAUGGUUCAAAAGUGAAAGACGGUCUUGCUGUCACUUAUAGAUGGAUCCGCGCUGCAUUAGCUAGUUGGUAAGGUAACGGCUUACCAAGGCAACGAUGCAUAGCCGACCUGAGAGGGUGAUCGGCCACACUGGAACUGAGACGCGGUCCAGACUCCUACGGGAGGCAGCAGUAGGGAAUCUUCCGCAAUGGGCGAAAGCCUGACGGAGCAACGCCGCGUGAGUGAUGAAGGUCUUCGGAUCGUAAAACUCUGUUAUUAGGGAAGAACAUAUGUGUAAGUAACUGUGCACAUCUUGACGGUACCUAAUCAGAAAGCCACGGCUAACUACGUG
rnacentral:rRNA from 1 species